ACAGGGACGUAUUAUUAAGAGAGCUUUUGGGAAGUUGAAGGUAGAGCAUGUUUAUUUGGGAAGGCACAGUUUCAGCAAGAUGCUGCCAAGUUAACACCUUAGGAUGUCUUUGGGGUGGCACUGGACACAACAACAAGUACUGAGCAGAGAUCACUACAAUGCAAUGGGUCACUGUAGUACAAAUAUGAAUCUGUUGUCAGUGUCUUUCUUGUAUAUAUAUAUCUGUUUUGUGGAAAUAAUGUAAUAUAUUCAGUUACUGCUCUUAUAUGGAAGAUUUCAUCAUGUGUUGAUGUUUA